GGUGAGUCUAAUCUAAAGGCCUUUGCGAUGUUAAAUUGUGAACAUCUUGAGUUUUCAUUAAAGGGUGUGGCCAUGGCGCCAUGACAAAGUUCGAUGUCUCGCCAUGGGAAUAGAAGUUGUUGUAACUCAGGCAUAAGAUGUCCGAUCUUCCCCAAACUUCACAUGUUCGAAAAGAGUCUUGGCCUGAACACAUCUGAAGGUCAUUAUUCCACUAUAAUCAUAGCGCCACCUGCUGACAACAGAAAAUGACUUGUUUUACACUAACUUAAACAUGCAAUGUCCAAUCUGCACCAAAC
ensembl:lncRNA